rnacentral:rRNA from 1 species
AUUGAACGCUGGCGGCAGGCCUAACACAUGCAAGUCGAACGAGUGGCAGACGGGUGAGUAAUGUCUGGGAAACUGCCUGAUGGAGGGGGAUAACUACUGGAAACGGUAGCUAAUACCGCAUACCAUCAGAUGUGCCCAGAUGGGAUGCGCUUGUUGGUGGGGUAACGGCUCACCAGGGCGACGAUCCCUAGCUGGUCUGAGAGGAUGACCCGCCACACUGGAACGUAGACACGGUCCAGACUCCUACGAGAGGCAGCAGUGGGGAAUAUUGCACAAUGGGCGGAAGCCGGAUGCAUCCAUGCCGCGUGUAUGAAGAAGGCCUUCGGGUUGUAAAGUACUUUCAGCGGGGAGGCGGUACCCGCAGAAGAAGCACCGUCUAACUCCGUGCCAGCCGCCGCGGUAAUUC